AUGGAAAGAGAUGGAGAGCAGCCGGUAGACGAAGGAGAAGCAGCAGCUCCGUCGGGAUCGACAAGCAGGUCUACUAAACACACAUCUAGGAUAGCUAUUCAGAAAGUAACAGAGGUCGUUGCUGCAUUAUCGGAUUACAAAAGAUUCAUGGUUGAGGAGAUUGGCUUUGAGGGUGUAUUGCGUAUCCCCAUGAUUCAGAAAAUCAAUCUCAAGUUCAGCAAGUUCCUCAUGACCAAGGUGGAUGUGAAAGAGCAUUGCAUCAUCCUGAGAGACGGCGGAACACCAAUUACUUUUUAUCCAGAGGAUUUCUACAAAGUGUUUGGCAUCCCAUGUGGUCAACGAGACAUCCAUGGGAAAGAUGCAGACAUCACAUCUGAAGCAAUCAAGUUCAUCAGGAACUCUAUAGGGUAG
rnacentral:rRNA from 1 species